UCCGCAUUAGUCUAGAUGGUUAGGAUAGCUGGCUUUCACCCAGCAGACCCGGGUUCGAGUCCCGGAUGCGGAA
rfam:Stentor coeruleus isolate WM001 SteCoe_contig_277, whole genome shotgun sequence.